GCUACUUGUUCUACCCUCCUGCCCCGUGGUCCUCCCGAUUGGAUAUUUGUCUGCGUCGCAGGCCAAUCCCUAAUACUACAACGCUCCAAAAACCUCAGAGUUGUAGGCAUCAAGAUCUUAGAUCAUCUGCGGUCGCGAUGCUUCAUCAAAAUCCGGUGGUUUCCGAUAUCUGUGCUACUGGUUUAUCCGUUGCUAUUGCUCUCUCCGUUCUCCGCCUCUGGAAAGAAACCGCUGAACGACGCAUCUUUGACCAGAAACUGAAUCGGAAGCUUGUGCA
rnacentral:misc_RNA from 1 species